rnacentral:ncRNA from 1 species
CCUUUAUAUUAGCUGUCAGUAUUCUUACACAUGCAAAUAUCCGUAGUCCAGUGAGUCAUGCCCAAGAUUUCCUUAUUCAAAGAAAUAAAGGAGCAGGGAUCAAGUACACUAAUUUAUUAGUAGCUGAAAACACCACGUCUAACCACACCCCCACGGGAUACAGCAGUGAUAAAAAUUAAGCAAUGAACGAAAGUUUGACUAAGUAAUACUGAAUUAGGGUUGGUAAAUUUCGUGCCAGCCACCGCGGUCAUACGAAUAACCCUAGUUAAUAUACCACGGCGUAAAGAGUGCUAAAACUAUCCGUCUAAAUAGAAUUAAAGCCUAAUUCAGCUGUAAAAAGCAUAAAUUAAAGCGAAAGCCAAUGACGAAAGUAAUCUUAUUGAGUUGCAGCACUAAAGCUAUAAAACAAACUGGGAUUAGAUACCCCACUAUGUAUAGCCAUAAACAUAAAUAAAUUUACAACAAAUUUAUUCGCCUGAGAACUACAAGCAAUCGCUAGAAACUCAAAGGACUUGGCGGUGCUUUAUAUCCACCUAGAGGAGCCUGUUCCAUAAUCGAUAAACCCCGAUCCACCUUACCACUUCUUGCUAAUUCAGCCUAUAUACCGCCAUCCUCAGCUAACCCUAAAAAGGAGUACUAGUAAGCACAAUCAUUAUAAAUUAAUAAAAAAGUUAGGUCAAGGUGUAGCCAAUGAAGUGGAGAGUAAUGGGCUACAUUUUCUGAAAACAGAAUAUCACGGAAUUCCCUCUGAAACACAGGGAAUGAAGGAGGAUUUAGUAGUAAAUUGAAAAUAGAGUGUUCAAUUGAAUAGAGCAAUGAAGCACGUACACA